GAGCCGUUCUGUCGGGGAAACGAGCGGGGGCUCCCAAUAUAAGCGCGUGCAACGUGAUCCUAAGCUGUAACGAGGCUUACGAUUGGUAGACGAUAUGGACCAAUGAAAAAGCGCGUUAGUUCCUGGGCCAAUCUACCUUUUUAGGUGGAGAUGAUAGCGAAAGUGUGACAAGGGGGUGGUGGCGGAAAGGUACUACGAGCGCAGAGUUGUACGUCCGUGAUCGGCUCGACUUGAGUGAGAUGAAAAUAGAUACUAAGAAGAUCGAGACUCCCUUAAGACGAUGCUCAUGGACCAGUCUAGCGCCAUUCCAUCGAGGUGCAUGUCGGAAGGACGCGAAUAAGAUCCGAACAAGAGUGUGGAGAGUAGUUGGUUACUUGUCAGGUGGUGGUAGUCUCCUCGAAUACCCAAGACACGAUCCAUUGCAGCAGCAACGUGUACUCCUGUACGGUCCACGUGGAAGAUGCACGUGGUCAUACACGAUAGAUCGACGAUAACAGCUGCGAAAUAGUUGCACCUUCUCUUCUUAUGAAAGAGAAAUCGAUCGAUCAUUUUUAUGUUUCUUCGGAUAUCUUUUAUAGAUUCCUAAUGAUUCGUCUUUGAUUUUCUUGAUUUUCGGUUUACUGCAUUUUGUUAUAUUUUAUUUUUUUUUUUUUUUUAUUUUUGUCUCUUCUUCUUUCCUUAUUGAUUUAUCAUCUACAUUAUAUUGAAUUGAUUCACUUUCAAUUACUCCCAUUUAAUUUCGAUGCUUUAUUUAUUAUAGUAAAUGUGCUUUUAUGGUUGACUCCAUUUUUCUUUGAUUAUUAUUAUUGUUAUUAUCAUAAUUAUUAUUCUUCCUUUUUUAAUGUACAUAUAUAUAUAUAUAUAUAUAAAUAGUUUUAUUUUUAAGGUGAGAUCAUAUUUGCUAACGUUAAAAUGCUCGAACCAUUAAAUAUUUACCGGAUUUUAAAUGACACAAAUCGUUGCAAUAAAUUUCGUUGCAUGUACCACAUAUAUUGCUCAUGUUAUAAAAUAAAAAUUAUGAAUUUUACGCGUGUAGGAUAGAGCGUUUGGUAGAACGUUUGCAAUGUGAAAUAAAACUUAUAAUAAAUGUUAUAUAUAAUAGACAUUCAAAGUUGUGAUAAUAAAAUUAGUUAAAAAUAUA